CCGUCGAGAGAGAUGUUGGUCAGGAACAAAAGAGCGGCUUGUCUUCGGCGGGAGUUCUCCCGGUUCCUCCUGUUGUAUUCCCGAGCGAGUGGUGCAGCUCGGGUGAAGCCCAUGGGUGCUCUGACAGUCCCUGCUGAUGUUCACUGAUGAUGGCACAGAGCAAAGCCAGGAGGGGAGAAGAGAAGCAGUGCAUCAUGGGUAGGUCAUGAUGCAGGACAAUGGUUCAAUGCAGCAUUGGGACUAAAAUGCAUCAGACUGUCUGUGUAUUCAAAUCAAAAUCAAUCUCUGCUUUUUAUUCAUAGCCUUUAUAUGAACUGCAGAAAUAUAAACAGUUUUCUUUUGUCCUCGCCUGCCACCUUGUGGUGAUAAAUACAUAUUACAUCCUUAUCAGACAGCAGUAAUGCCACAGUCAUCAUUUAAGGUUUUCCAUGAAAACACACAAUUUUAUACCGAUUUUAUAUACAAUUGCACAUUUAAUAAUAUUUAGAAAAUGUAGUAAAAGUUUUUUUUCUGGACGUGUAAAGUAUGUAAAGUAAAAAGAAAGAAAAAAAAUAGCAAAACUAGUGAAGCAAACUCAAAAUAAGUUGUGUUAUGUAUUUAUAAUGACAAUAACAAUAACAACAGCAACAACAGCUAUACCAGUAAUGUCUUUUGACAGAUGAUAAAAUACAUUUUUGUUCUUUAUUUGUCAUUAACAGAGUGUCAAUGAAUUUUAUUUACCUAACAAAAAACCUGUUUGGUUUUUGUAAAUUCAGUGCAGAAAGCAGCAAGUUCAAGGGAAAAUUCAAACAAUUCAAAUAUUUUUGACAAAUAAAGAUUAUAAAUAUAAUCCUGCCCUCUCAGCCACCACCAUGAAGAGCACCAGGGGAAGAUGGAGGAGAGGAAUAUUGUGUUAAAUGGGAUUAUUUAGUUUAUUUUUUCCAUCUGAGUGCUACAGAUACAGUUGCUUUUGCUGUAUUUUCUUUUUUUUUAAUUCAGUUUUUAAAGAUAAGCUGGAUGAUUCUGAUGUUGGAGAGUAAAUAUUACCAAUAGGAAGGAGAGGAUUUAGCGCAACUUCUAAUUUUAAAGAUACCAAUAAUCACCUCUGGGGGCAGUAGAGUAAAGCAAAUAAAUGAGCCUUGCGUCCUUUGGUGGCAAACUGAGAAAUCUUUCCUGAUGCUAUGAGUGUUUUUGAUUCUUGUCGUCAUUGCUCUGAAAUGAUUUUUAAAAUGUUUGAAAUUGACAAUAAACUAUGUUAUAAGAUUUGCAAGAAAAAUACAUGAAAGCAGACACUUUUAAAUGCAUGAACCUACAUGGUCUUCUGCAUCAUAUUCCUCAUUUAAUUCCAAGAUUGUUGUUUAUUUUCUGCUACCACAAACUCUGGCGGAUUCCGGACAAAACUUUAAAUUUAAGCAGCUUAUAGAGUCAUUUAUUAUUUUGAAGCGUAUCUUAGAGUAGUAAACAAACACUUAAUAAUAAUAUGUUCCAGAGGUCAGCUUUCGGCUUCGCUGCUACAAAAUAAAAUGUGUCCAGAGGUGCAAAAUAGAUAGAUUUUAUAAAUGUAAAACUAAAUGUUUUAUUUUAGACCUGUGAGCUGAUGAGUUAAUUUUGACCACUAGAGGGGAGUGUUGUUGAGUAAAUGUUUGAAUUGCGCUCCUGGUUUCAACAAAUCAAACAAAAAGCGAUUUCAUUUAUUUGACGUUUAUCGUGAGAAAACGGAUAUAUAUGCGAUGAAAGACGUCUAAUUUAUGAAUUUGAAUUAUUCAAAAAUUAUAAAAUAAAAGUCACAAUGACAUAAAAUUCGUAUUUAAGUUUCAAAAUUAUGAGAGGUCAAAUAAUUUUCAAACCCCUAAUUAUAUUGUGAGAUGCAAAGUCCGAAUUAUGAUAUAUAGUUUCAUAAUUACAAGAUUAAAUAGUAAAAGUUUUAAGUUACAAUUCAUUUUUGAGAUUCAAACUACAAGUUUCAAAACUAUGAGAAAAUGUCAUUUUUAAAAUUCAGAUCUCCAUAUUUAGGAGAUCAAAUAUAAUAAUUAUGAGAUACAAUUUCAUAAUCAUGAGGUUAAUAUUACAAGUUUCAAGUUAUUGCAAUGAAAUGAUAGUCAUAAUUAUGGAUAUUCAGUUUAUAAGUAAUAGCUUUUAAAGUUAUUACAAUGCAAUUAAAACGGUGUUGGAGAAAGUGUUGCAUUACAAAGUUCUAACAAUGAGCUAAAAAGUCAUAACUCUAAGUUUCAAAGGCAUAUUUUAUGACUCUAAAAAAUAAGUUUUUGUGUCAGGAAUGGUCUUCCAUAGAAGACCUGCAGCCUAAAAUAAGGUGAUAUUCAAAGUGGCCCCAGGGAUGAACAGAGGGUGUCGCAUGGUGGCAGCCAGUUGCUGUUUAAAAAUACUUCAAACUGUUUUUACCAGACUGGAUUCAUCAUGUCUGAGUAACAUGGUAAAAACAGACCUUCCUGCUUUACUGAAGCAAAAACAAAGCUUAACAUUGUCCUGGAAAAAAUGGGCUCUGGUGACACACUCAGUUCUUCAAAUAGCAUUACCUUUUCCUGCAAGCUCACUUACAAAAACCACCAGAGGAAGAAUCAUGGGAGAUUUUUUUCUUUAUUUUAAUGCAAAUACUUUUAGGCUUUUCCUUCAUCAACAACACCAUCAAACUUAAAGGCAGAUCAGCUUCAGAUGCUUCUUCUUUGUAAGGCCCCGACCCCCCACACAAAGAAAGAGAAAAUAAGUCUUUUCACUGUAAGACAUGGAGUUAAGAAUCAUUCUGGUUUUUUAAUCUAACUACAGAGAGGUAAAUUAAUUUAGGAUUUGGGGUCGCUUAAUUAUUUUAGCUAUAAAUAAAAGGUAACAGCAGAAUUCUGUGUAAGAUGAAAAGGCGCAUUCCCAAAAAACGUACAAAAGUACAGAAAAUCACCUCCUGCAUACAAAUAUUUGGCUCUGAAGCUGAAUGCAACACAGAGUCAGGAUCUCAAGAGACAUAUCGAUCCCUUUAAAACUCCUCCUGCUGCA